rnacentral:rRNA from 1 species
UACAGAGGUCCCGAGCGUUGUUCGGAUUCAUUGGGCGUAAAGGGUGCGUAGGUGGCGUGGUAAGCCGGGUGUGAAAUUUCGGAGCUUAACUCCGAAACUGCAUUCGAUACUGCCGUGCUUGAGGACUGGAGAGGAGACUGGAAUUUACGGUGUAGCAGUGAAAUGCGUAGAGAUCGUAAGGAAGACCAGUGGCGAAGGCGGGUCUCUGGACCACAUCUGACGCUGAGGCGCGAAAGCUAGGGGAGCAAGCAGG